rnacentral:rRNA from 1 species
GUGAAAUGCCAGGGCUUAACCCUGGAGCUGCUUUUAAUACUGCAGGACUAGAGUCCGGAAGAGGAUAGCGGAAUUCCUAGUGUAGAGGUGAAAUUCGUAGAUAUUAGGAGGAACACCAGUGGCGAAGGCGGCUGUCUGGUCCGGUACUGACGCUGAUGUGCGAAAGCGUGGGGAGCAAACAGGAUUAGAUACCCUGGUAGUC